rnacentral:rRNA from 1 species
AUUGAACGCUGGCGGCAGGCUUGACACAUGCAAGUCGAGCGGGGGAAGGUAGCUUGCUACUGGACCUAGCGGCGGACGGGUGAGUAAUGCUUAGGAAUCUGCCUAUUAGUGGGGGACAACAUCUCGAAAGGGAUGCUAAUACCGCAUACGUCCUACGGGAGAAAGCAGGGGAUCUUCGGACCUUGCGCUAAUAGAUGAGCCUAAGUCGGAUUAGCUAGUUGGUGGGUAAAGGCCUACCAAGGCGACGAUCUGUAGCGGGUCUGAGAGGAUGAUCCGCCACACUGGGACUGAGACACGGCCCAGACUCCUACGGGAGGCAGCAGUGGGGAAUAUUGGACAAUGGGGGGAACCCUGAUCCAGCCAUGCCGCGUGUGUGAAGAAGGCCUUAUGGUUGUAAAGCACUUUAAGCGAGGAGGAGGCUACUUUAGUUAAUACCUAGAGAUAGUGGACGUUACUCGCAGAAUAAGCACCGGCUAACUCUGUGCCAGCCGCCGCGGUAA